AUGGCCCUUAGCGCAAUUGUUCUCCCAAGCCAAUGAGAGAACCUAAGCUAACCUAAUAAUGAUCUAAGCUUCUCAAAGCAAGAUCUUCAAGGUUGUCCUCCUUUGAUAUUGUAUUCUUAUCUUUCUUCAAAAUAUUACAUUACAUAAAAGAAACCCGUUUUACAUACGAGGGAGUGAGAUGAGAAAAGAAGUUACAUCA
rnacentral:lncRNA from 1 species